rnacentral:lncRNA from 1 species
GUGACGCCCCCGGGCAUCGGGGACGAAACAAAAGUUCCUCAAAUCCCCCUAAAAUUUUUUAAAUGCCCCCAAAAUUUCUGCUUUUUGCAUCAAGGACAAAGCCCCUCCUCACAACCCAGCGCUGUCCCCUCUCUUGGGGGUCUCUGUCCUCUCUCUGUCCCUUCCCAGGGGUCUCUGUUCCCUUUUGGGGGGGGUCUCUGUCCCCUCUCUUGGGGGUCUUUGUCUCCUUUUGGGGUCUCUCUCCCCUCUCGGGGGUCUCUGUCCUCUUUUUGGGGAGGGGGUCUCUGUCCCUUUUUGGGGAGGGGUCUCUGUGUCCUCUUUUGGGGUCUCUGUCCCCUUUUGGGGGGGGUCUCUGUCCCCUCUCUUG